UCCGGUUGAUCCUGCCGGCGGCCACCGCUAUUGGAAUACGAUUAAGUCAUGCGAGUCGAGAGACGUAAGGUCUCGGCAGACCGCUCAGUAACACGUGGAUAACAUGCCCUAAGGUGGGGGAUAAUCUCGGGAAACUGAGGAUAAUACCCCAUAGGUCUAAUGUGCUGGAAUGCUGUUAGGCCGAAAACUCCGGUGCCUUAGGAUUGGUCUGCGGUCUAUCAGGCCGUAGUGGGUGUAACGGACCCACUAGCCCGUGACGGAUAUGGGCCUUGAGAGAGGGAGCCCAGAGAUGGACUCUGAGACAUGAGUCCAGGCCCUACGGGGCGCAGCAGUCGCGAAAACUUCGCAAUGGGGGAAACCCCGACGAGGGAAUUCCAAGUGCCAGCACUUUGUGUUGGCUGUUCUUCUGUCUAAAAAACAGGAGGAGUAAGGGGCGGGUAAGACGGGUGCCAGCCGCCGCGGUAAUACCCGCGCCCCAAGUGGUGGUCGAUAUUAUUGAGCCUAAAACGUCCGUAGCCGGUCUUCUAAAUCCUUGGGUAAAUCGGGCAGCUCAACUGUCCGAAUUCCGGGGAGACUGGGAGACUUGGGACCGGGAGAGGUCAGAGGUACUUCUGGGGUAGGGGUAAAAUCCUGUAAUCCUGGAAGGACCACCGGUGGCGAAGGCGUCUGACUAGAACGGAUCCGACGGUGAGGGACGAAGCCCUGGGGCGCAAACGGGAUUAGAUACCCCGGUAGUCCAGGGUGUAAACGCUGCGGGCUUGGUGUUGGGGGUCCUUAGUGGGCGCCCAGUGCCGGAGAGAAGUUGUUAAGCCUGCUGCUUGGGGAGUAUGUCCGCAAGGAUGAAACUUAAAGGAAUUGGCGGGGGAGCACCGCAACGGGAGGAGCGUGCGGUUCAAUUGGAUUCAACGCCGGG
rnacentral:rRNA from 1 species